rnacentral:rRNA from 1 species
AUACGUAGGGGGCGAGCGUUGUCCGGAAUGAUUGGGCGUAAAGGGCGCGUAGGCGGCGCGGCAAGUCUGGAGUGAAAGUCCUGCUUUCAAGGUGGGAAUUGCUUUGGAUACUGCCGCGCUUGAGUGCAGGAGAGGUUAUCGGAAUUCCCGGUGUAGCGGUGAAAUGCGUAGAGAUCGGGAGGAACACCAGUGGCGAAGGCGGGUAACUGGACUGCAACUGACGCUGAGGCGCGAAAGUGUGGGGAGCAAACAGGAUUAGAUACCCUGGUAGUCCACACUGUAAACGAUGAAUGCUAGGUAUAAGAGGUAUCGAC